rnacentral:misc_RNA from 1 species
CUGAAGAAAUGGUAGUUGGCUGAGCUGACAGCUGUAUGUGCUCGCUUCUACCGCUUUUCUCCAUUCUCCACUGUGCACCUAUUGUAGGCUAUGAUAACGUUCUUGAAGGCUUAUAUAGUGAACUCUAUGUUUGCUUUUUUGCCUUUUCGACUUCGUAGCCUAUGUUCAUACAAACUCUUUUAUAGUCAAUGAAUGUGUAUUGUUGAUCUCUUACGAUCGAUAAACUAUAUA